rnacentral:rRNA from 1 species
UACAGAGGUGGCAAGCGUUGUUCGGAAUUACUGGGCGUAAAGGGCGCGUAGGCGGCCAACUAAGUCAGACGUGAAAUCCCUCGGCUUAACCGGGGAACUGCGUCUGAUACUGGAUGGCUUGAGGUUGGGAGAGGGAUGCGGAAUUCCAGGUGUAGCGGUGAAAUGCGUAGAUAUCUGGAGGAACACCGGUGGCGAAGGCGGCAUCCUGGACCAAUUCUGACGCUGAGGAGCGAAAGCCAGGGGAGCAAACGGG